GUAACACACAACACAGACUUCAAAAAACCAGAGCUUUUGCUGGGGAUAUAUGCUCCUUCCAAAGGCGAUUGAUUGUGUGCAAUAUUCUGAGAAUUAAUUCCUCCAAAGGUGGAUAUUGAGGGAGAAACAGAAAAAUCCAAGACAAUCCCCUGUGGAAGAAAAUUCUCCAACCCAAAACUCAACUGAACUCAAAGCGCUGAACAGCGCGUCAAUUAAGACCUGUCAAAUAUAAUCACACGG
rnacentral:lncRNA from 1 species